rnacentral:lncRNA from 1 species
UAUCUUUUGAAGCGCACAAACAAAGAAUGUCGUUGUGCGGGGAUGCGAUUCGCCAAGCUGGGGCAAAGAAAGCCGUCCGACCCUACCGAAGUACCAAAGGCUUUCGAGGGGGCCUGCAUAAUCUUUUGAAGCGCACAAACAAAGAAUGUCGUUGUGCGGGGAUGCGAUUCGCCAAGCUGGGGCAAAGAAAGUCGUCCGACCCUACCGAAGUACCAAAGGCUUUCGAGGCUUACACCUCCCUAUUACAGGACCUAAAAAAAGGCUUUCAGUAGCGCCCUUAGAAUCUAAUUUGAAGCGCCAGUAGUUGUAGCUGUGGCCACACCAACCCUUUCGUUCUUAUCGCUCCGGAUUCCGAUCUAUAUGACCUCCGGGCGGUACAAAGUAAACCUCUUCCGUAGAAGCAGGUAGUAACCUAACCUUUAAGAAUUUGUUCAAGGGGGGACCCUCUGAUCUAUCAAUGGAAAGAUCUCCAUGUGUGGCGUGAUAAGGAAUCCUAGAAAAGAUCGAUUGAGACUCCCUCCACGGUCCCACGAAGAUCUCUACGUACUUGUCCAGGACAAGUGAGAUCUUCGGUCUGCGUGCCUGGGAGCAGCUCAAACAAAGAAGAGUCUGGUCCGGUCUGAAUUCAGGCACGGCCCGCCCGUCUGCU